GUCACACAGCUAAUGCUGAAAUAAUAAUGGAGUUGAGCUCCCGUGAAGCACCUCUUUAUGCACCAACCAUGCUGAAUUCCAAUUCUUUUUCCAUGACCUCUGGUUUCCCACCUUCCAAGAGAAGAUGUCUAUUCUUCUCAGCAAUACUUCCAGAAUCACAAAAGCUUUGAUCUAAGGAAGGAAGAAAAAAUGAAAACAAGAAGAAAAUAGAAAAAUCAUAAAAAUUCUUAUUGCAGAUACCUGGCAUUCUC